CGAAAGCCUGACGGAGCAACGCCGCGUGUGGGAAGAAGGCUCUUGGGUUGUAAACCCCUUUUCUCAGGGAAGAAACCUGACGGUACCUGAGGAAAAAGCCUCGGCUAACUCCGUGCCAGCAGCCGCGGUAAUACGGAGGAGGCAAGCGUUAUCCGGAAUUACUGGGCGUAAAGCGUUCGUAGGGGGCUCGUCAAGUCUGCUGUCAAAGGUCGGAGCUCAACUCCGGUUCGGCAGUGGAAACUGGUGAGCUAGAGGGCGACAGGGGUAGAGGGAAUUCCCAGUGUAGCGGUGAAAUGCGUAGAGAUUGGGAAGAACACCGGUGGCGAAAGCGCUCUACUGGGUCGCACCUGACCCUCAGGGACGAAAGCUAAGGUAGCG
rnacentral:rRNA from 1 species